rnacentral:rRNA from 1 species
CCAGGAUUAGAUACCCUGGUAGUCCACGCCGUAAACGAUGUCGACUUGGAGGUUGUGCCCUUGAGGCGUGGCUUCCGGAGCUAACGCGUUAAGUCGACCGCCUGGGGAGUACGGCCGCAAGGUUAAAACUCAAAUGAAUUGACGGGGGCCCGCACAAGCGGUGGAGCAUGUGGUUUAAUUCGAUGCAACGCGAAGAACCUUACCUGGUCUUGACAUCCACAGAACUUUCCAGAGAUGGAUUGGUGCCUUCGGGAACUGUGAGACAGGUGCUGCAUGGCUGUCGUCAGCUCGUGUUGUGAAAUGUUGGGUUAAGUCCCGCAACGAGCGCAACCCUUAUCCUUUGUUGCCAGCGGUCCGGCCGGGAACUCAAAGGAGACUGCCAGUGAUAAACUGGAGGAAGGUGGGGAUGACGUCAAGUCAUCAUGGCCCUUACGACCAGGGCUACACACGUGCUACAAUGGCGCAUACAAAGAGAAGCGACCUCGCGAGAGCAAGCGGACCUCAUAAAGUGCGUCGUAGUCCGGAUUGGAGUCUGCAACUCGACUCCAUGAAGUCGGAAUCGCUAGUAAUCGUGGAUCAGAAUGCCACGGUGAAUACGUUCCCGGGCCUUGUACACACCGCCCGUCACACCAUGGGAGUGGGUUGCAAAAGAAGUAGGUAGCUUAACCUUCGGGAGGGCGCUUACCACUUUGUGAUUCAUGACUGGGGUGAAGUCGUAACAAGGUAACC